CUUUCUUUCAGGUCUCACUUCUGCAAAGGGAAGAUAAAUAAUUCUUACGUAAGCUCAAGAGGCAAAAUCAGAGAAGUAAAUAAAAGAUUCCACGCAUUCGUAGAAUUCUAGAGCUGUGCUUAACCUCAAGAGCUCGUUCAUCCUCCUGGGAAUCAAGUUUCUUGUAGUGGCAUCAGAAUCAUACUGAACAGUGAAGAUUCUUCCAGCAGAGGAUUCUAUGAUCACUAAAGACUGACAAUCACUCUGUAGUAAUGGAGAACCCUAGAAGGGUUUCGAACAGAAGUGUGACGGUGAGAAGUAAGGAAAGAAAGAAGAAAGAAGGAAAGACAGCUAUUAUCAAAUCCAAAGAAACACAGAAUAUAUGGAAUGAAAUCAAGUACUAAAUUAGAGGAAACAUACAAGCUGAAGCCUUUGGCUCACAUGGAGGCCAAGUUAAAACUUUUAGAACUAAAAAAAGAAUUCCUGUUUAUGCAAAACAUCUUUCCAGCAGGACAUUUCAACUUAUCUGUCAAUAGAAAAUCUAGUCCAUAUUCACAGAAGCUGCUGUCUAUAUAUUACAAGGUAAUUUACCAGGAUAUUUUAUUCAUAAUCAGCUCCUUUUUGACCCACUGGAAGAUCUCUACCAUACUUCUAUUUUCUUGAAGUCUUCGAAAGCUUUGGAAAACCUAUUCAAAAAUAAUUUUGUUCUAGAAGUUAAAUGUGAGAUUUAAAGAUUAAAACCUCUAAUUGGAAGAUGAACACCAACUAAAAAUCUUUUUGAGCGUAGUAAGCCCUGAUUUGACUACCAG
rnacentral:lncRNA from 1 species